rnacentral:rRNA from 1 species
UUUUGAUUAUAAUUUAAAGUCUAACCUGCCCUAUGAUUUAUUAUUAAAUGGCCGCGAUAUUUUGAUCGUGCAAAGGUAGCAUAAUAAUUAGUUUUUUAAUUGAGAACUGGUAUGAAUGGUUGAACGAGAAAAAAACUGUCUCAAUUUAAUUUAAAUUAGAAUUUUAUUUUUAAGUUAAAAAGCUUAAAUAUUUUUAAAAGACGAGAAGACCCUAUAGAGUUUUAUAUAAGUUUAUAUUUUAAAAAAUUUUAGAAUUUUAAAUUUAAUUAUAAUAAUUUGUAUUUAAUUGGGGUGAUUAAAAAAUUUAAAUAACUUUUUUUAGAUUUAAACAUAAAUUUAUGAAUAGAUGAUCC